ACGCAAUAGAUACCCUGGUAGUCCACGCCGUAAACGAUGAGUGCUAAGUGUUAGAGGGUUUCCGCCCUUUAGUGCUGAAAGUUAAACGCAUUAAGCACUCCGCCUGGGGAGUACGGUCGCAAGACUGAAACUCAAAGGAAUUGACGGGGGCCCGCACAAGCGGUGGAGCAUGUGGUUUAAUUCGAAGCAACGCGAAGAACCUUACCAGGUCUUGACAUCCUCUGACAACCCUAGAGAUAGGGCUUUCCCUUCGGGGACAGAGUGACAGGUGGUGCAUGGUUGUCGUCAGCUCGUGUCGUGAGAUGUUGGGUUAAGUCCCGCAACGAGCGCAACCCUUGAUCUUAGUUGCCAGCAUUUAGUUGGGCACUCUAAGGUGACUGCCGGUGACAAACCGGAGGAAGGUGGGGAUGACGUCAAAUCAUCAUGCCCCUUAUGACCUGGGCUACACACGUGCUACAAUGGACGGUACAAAGAGUCGCAAGACCGCGAGGUGGAGCUAAUCUCAUAAAACCGUUCUCAGUUCGGAUUGUAGGCUGCAAC
rnacentral:rRNA from 1 species